rnacentral:rRNA from 1 species
GGGUGGUAAUACCGGAUGCUCCGCUCCAUCGCAUGGUGGGGUGGGAAAUGCUUUUGCGGCAUGGGAUGGGGUCGCGUCCUAUCAGCUUGUUGGCGGGGUGAUGGCCCACCAAGGCGUUGACGGGUAGCCGGCCUGAGAGGGUGACCGGCCACAUUGGGACUGAGAUACGGCCCAGACUCCUACGGGAGGCAGCAGUGGGGAAUAUUGCACAAUGGGCGCAAGCCUGAUGCAGCGACGCCGCGUGCGGGAUGGAGGCCUUCGGGUUGUAAACCGCUUUUGUUCAAGGGCAAGGCACGGUUUCGGCCGUGUUGAGUGGAUUGUUCGAAUAAGCACCGGCUAACUACGUGCCAGCAGCCGCGGUAAUACGUAGGGUGCGAGCGUUAUCCGGAUUUAUUGGGCGUAAAGGGCUCGUAGGCGGUUCGUCGCGUCCGGUGUGAAAGUCCAUCGCCUAACGGUGGAUCUGCGCCGGGUACGGGCGGGCUGGAGUGCGGUAGGGGAGACUGGAAUUCCCGGUGUAACGGUGGAAUGUGUAGAUAUCGG